CCUACGGGAGGCUGCAGUCGAGAAUCAUUCACAAUGGGGGAAACCCUGAUGGUGCGACGCCGCGUGGGGGAAUGAAGGUCUUCGGAUUGUAAACCCCUGUCAUGUGGGAGCAAAUUAAAAAGAUAGUACCACAAGAGGAAGAGACGGCUAACUCUGUGCCAGCAGCCGCGGUAAUACAGAGGUGGCGAGCGUUAUCCGGAAUCAUGGGGCGUAAAGAGGGAGCAGACGGCCUGGAGGGUCUAUUGUUAAAAGGCAAUGGCUUAACCAUUGUAAGGCGAAGAAACCGGCAGGCUAGAGUUCUAAAGAGGAUCGUGGAAUUCCAUGUGUAGCGGUGAAAUGCGUAGAUAUAUGGAGGAACACCAGUGGCGAAGGCGACGAUCUGGGAAGAAACAGACGCUGAGUCCCGAAAGCGUGGGGAGCAAAUAGGAUUAGAUACCCUAGUAGUC
rnacentral:rRNA from 1 species